CCUACGGGUGGCUGCAGUGGGGAAUAUUGCACAAUGGGGGAAACCCUGAUGCAGCGACGCCGCGUGAGCGAUGAAGGAGUUCGGUAUGUAAAGCUCUAUCAGCAGGGAAGAAAAGGACGGUACCUGACUAAGAAGCCCCGGCUAACUACGGGCCAGCAGCCGCGGUAAUACGUAGGGGGCAAGCGUUCUCCGGAUUGACGGGGGGUAAAGGGAGCGUAGCCGGUCCGGCAAGCCAGAUGUGAAAGCCCGGGGCCCAACCCCGGGACUGCAUUUGGAACUGUAAGGCUAGAGUGUCGGAGAGGCCGGCGGAUUUCCUAGUGUAGCGGUGAAAUGCGUCGCUAUUAGGAGGAACCCCAGUGGCGAAGGCGGCCUGCUGGACGAUGACUGCCGUUGAGGCUCGACAGCGUGGGGAGCAAACAGGCUUAGAUACCCUGGUAGUC
rnacentral:rRNA from 1 species